UCCCCCUACAUCACCAUUCAAUAUUUCUUGGCCCACUAUCGGCCAAACUACUUGGGCACUAGGUCCAAUGUGAGUAGGGCCUCUGCUAUCUAUUCUUUCACGAUUCAGUUCAACUUGAGAGGGUUUUGGUACUAGUGAAUUGUAGCCUUCAGUUGGGUUUGCCAAAGGGCUAAUUUGAACUUAGUGAAUCAAAGCUGUUAGUUUAUCAACUAGACUUGCUCACUUCAGUUUCAAUGACAAGCUUUGGGAGGGUUUUAAAGGCAUGAGUAAUCACUACCCUUUCAAAACCCAGAAGUCACGUUACUGUUAUAAUUCUACAGUGUAAUGACCCUUUUACCCUUGCUUCAUUUUUUUUUCUUUUUCUUAUUUUCCUUGUUAAUUGACUCUGGUCUUCAACUUCAAUUGCUUUUUCCCCUUUUCAUGCUCCACCGUUCAUUUCUGCCUUUUGGUUUCUCUCUCCUUUGAACCAAUCUUUCUCACUCCAUCUCUCCUUUUUCUUUCUGCCAUAUGCUUUCUCACUUACCCAAGAGCGGUGGUGAAUCUCUCCGAUCCUCCAUUGAAGGAACUUCUAAGCAGCUUGCGAGAGUGCUUAGUGCUUUUGAUGCAUUGAGGAUUGGAUAUCAUAUAUUCAGCCACUAUGGAUGAAGGGGGCCGAGAAUGUGGCUCCUGUUAGUCAAGUAAAGGAUAUAUAUUCGAGUCCAAGGUAAAGAAAGUGAAAAUUUGGUGGAGAGCUGCAAUGUACUGGAACCACUAGGGAGGGUUGCUCUUAGGGAAGGGGAUAUCCGAAGGAGCUCAGUCCAACAAUUUGUGGAUAUAUUAGGUUCAAACGAUGUCAAUAGUGAUGUAGAUGUAGUGGAAAUUCUCCGAGAUACAUGUACAAGUUACCACGAAAGUGGGGAGAUCAGAGUUCGUGAUUAGAUGAUGCUAAUGUGGAUUAGAUGAUACAGAGCAAUGAAAAGUGGGGAGAUCAGAGAUCAGAGUUCAGGAUUAGAUGAUACAGAGCAAUGAAUUUGAGGAUAUAUCUCGCUUAUUGGAUUAGCUAGGCAAAUAAAAUAUAAGGAGUAUAUGUUAUUGCCCCGUGCUUCAGAUUUUGAAAAUGGCUUUGACAUAGAGGUCAGAACUAGGAAAGGCCAAAACAAGUGGUUCAGUUUCCAAGGAAAUUGAUGAAAAUACUGAACUCGAGGAAGUUUCAUGUGUGAUAAUGAUCCUUUUGUACAAUGUGUGGUUCAGAGAAGACUUGGAGGUGCAUAAGAGGAUGCAAGCUACAUUCUCUUAAGGUUUCUUUUUGUGGCUUUACAAUUUCAUGAGAUAGUUGCUAUUUAUUUCUAUGAUUUCUAGCAUCUAUAACUUAUUUCUCUUUGACAUUUUUGGUCACUCCAAAUAUCUAUGACAUUUUUGGGAAAUCUACAUGGUAAAAAAAAUAUCAGUGUUCUGUCAUUGUCACGAGUCUCAUAUAUACUAUUACAUUGAGGUGAUUAAUUUCCAACUCCUCUUUCAAACGUUUUCCCAAGAUUUCAUAUUGUUGUAACACAAGUUGUGUUUAUGUUAGCAAUGGACCCCAUAAAUUUUCUUAUUUUUUUUUGUACACAAGUUGUCUUUGUUGUGUAUAUAUAUGAUGCUUUAGAUUGAUCUGACAUGUAUGUGAUGUCCCCUUAUUCAUCUAUUCCAACAUUUUAAAGUCAUUGAUACGUUACUCAGUGAUCCAAAAUCCGGUCUUUUCUUGCUAAUAACAAGGUGUUGACCGUGACGUUUCUUUUCUUGUAGUUGUUUUUUUUGUUCGUAGUACGUUGGUUUAGUGUAUAUGUAACUCUGGUUUUGUAGGUCUUCAUUAAUCUGCAAAUAUAGUUUGCCUCAGGUUAUAAGGUUAUUAUGAAAUGUGAAUGGUUGAGCCUCACAAGGUUAUUAUUGUGUAAACAUUGCUUUGUACCUAAGGAGGGCAUUUGAUCUUUGAUUGUUUAGGAGCAAAUUUUCUUCCAUUUUGCUAUUUUACUGAAUUGUUUACUCUUUUUUACCAAAAUGCUUUUGUU